rnacentral:rRNA from 1 species
CAGGGGUCAAAGGAGGAAUCCGGUGUGAGGUGGGCUCGCGUCUGAUUAGAUAGUUGGUGAGGUAACGGCUCACCAAGUCAACGAUCAGUAGCCGACCUGAGAGGGUGAUCGGCCACAUUGGGACUGAGACACGGCCCAGACUCCUACGGGAGGCAGCAGUGGGGAAUAUUGGGCAAUGGGCGCAAGCCUGACCCAGCAACGCCGCGUGAGGGAAGAAGGUUUUCGGAUUGUAAACCUCUGUCCUGUAUGAAGAGAAGAAGACGGUAGUACAGGAGGAAGCCCCGGCUAACUACGUGCCAGCAGCCGCGGUAAUACGUAGGGGGCGAGCGUUGUCCGGAAUGAUUGGGCGUAAAGGGCGCGUAGGCGGCCCGGUAAGUCUGGAGUGAAAGUCCUGCUUUUAAGGUGGGAAUUGCUUUGGAUACUGCUGGGCUUGAGUGCAGGAGAGGUUAUCGGAAUUCCCGGUGUAGCGGUGAAAUGCGUAGAGAUCGGGAGGAACACCAGUGGCGAAGGCGGGUAACUGGACUGCAACUGACGCUGAGGCGCGAAAGUGUGGGGAGCAAACAGGAUUAGAUACCCUGGU